rnacentral:rRNA from 1 species
CCUACGGGAGGCAGCAGUAGGGAAUCUUCCACAAUGGGCGAAAGCCUGAUGGAGCAACGCCGCGUGGGUGAAGAAGGUCUUCGGAUCGUAAAACCCUGUUGUUAGAGAAGAACGUGCGUUAGAGUAACUGUUCACGUUUCGACGGUAUCUAACCAGAAAGCCACGGCUAACUACGUGCCAGCAGCCGCGGUAAUACGUAGGUGGCAAGCGUUAUCCGGAUUUAUUGGGCUUAAAGGGAACGCAGGCGGUCUUUUAAGUCUGAUGUGAAAGCCUUCGGCUUAACCGGAGUAGUGCAUUGGAAACUGGGAGACUGGAGUGUAGAAGAGGAGAGUGGAACUCCAGGUGGAGCGGUGAAAUGCGUAGAUAUAUGGAAGAACACCAGUGGCGAAGGCGGCUCUCUGGUCUGUAACUGACGCUGAGGUUCGAAAGCGUGGGUAGCAAACAGGAUUAGAUACCCCAGUAGUC